GCCUGGGUGGCUCAGUUGGUUAAGCAUCUGACUUCAGCUCAGGUCAUGAUCUCGCGGUUUGGUUCGUGAGUUUGAGCCCCAUGUCAGGCU
rnacentral:tRNA from 1 species